rnacentral:rRNA from 1 species
CCUACGGGGGGCAGCAGUGAGGAAUAUUGGUCAAUGGGCGCGAGCCUGAACCAGCCAAGUAGCGUGAAGGAUGACUGCCCUACGGGUUGUAAACUUCUUUUGUAAAGGAGUAAAGUGAGGCACGUGUGCCGUUUUGUCUGUACCUUAUGAAUAAGGAUCGGCUAACUCCGUGCCAGCAGCCGCGGUAAUACGGAGGAGCCGAGCGUUAUCCGGAUUUAUUGGGUUUAAAGGGAGCGUAGGUGGGUGUUUAAGUCAGUUGUGAAAGUUUGCGGCUCAACCGUAAAAUUGCAGUUGAUACUGGCAGUCUUGAGUACGGUUGAGGUAGGCGGAAUUCGUGGUGUAGCGGUGAAAUGCUUAGAUAUCACGAAGAACUCCGAUUGCGAAGGCAGCGUACU